UGGAUCCAGACUUUGAUCAUGGCUCAGGAUGAACGCUAGCUACAGGCUUAACACAUGCAAGUCGAGGGGAAACGACAUCGAAAGCUUGCUUUUGAUGGGCGUCGACCGGCGCACGGGUGAGUAACGCGUAUCCAACCUGCCCACCACUUGGGGAUAACCUUGCGAAAGUAAGACUAAUACCCAAUGAUAUCUCUAGAAGACAUCUGAAAGAGAUUAAAGAUUUAUCGGUGAUGGAUGGGGAUGCGUCUGAUUAGCUUGUUGGCGGGGUAACGGCCCACCAAGGCAACGAUCAGUAGGGGUUCUGAGAGGAAGGUCCCCCACAUUGGAACUGAGACACGGUCCAAACUCCUACGGGAGGCAGCAGUGAGGAAUAUUGGUCAAUGGACGAGAGUCUGAACCAGCCAAGUAGCGUGCAGGAUGACGGCCCUAUGGGUUGUAAACUGCUUUUAUAAGGGAAUAAAGUGAGUCUCGUGACUCUUUUUGCAUGUACCUUAUGAAUAAGGACCGGCUAAUUCCGUGCCAGCAGCCGCGGUAAUACGGAAGGUCCGGGCGUUAUCCGGAUUUAUUGGGUUUAAAGGGAGCGUAGGCCGGAGAUUAAGCGUGUUGUGAAAUGUAGACGCUCAACGUCUGCACUGCAGCGCGAACUGGUUUCCUUGAGUACGCACAAGGUGGGCGGAAUUCGUGGUGUAGCGGUGAAAUGCUUAGAUAUCACGAAGAACUCCGAUUGCGAAGGCAGCUCACUGGAGCGCAACUGACGCUGAAGCUCGAAAGUGCGGGUAUCGAACAGGAUUAGAUACCCUGGUAGUCCGCACGGUAAACGAUGGAUGCCCGCUGUUGGUCUGAAUAGGUCAGCGGCCAAGCGAAAGCAUUAAGCAUCCCACCUGGGGAGUACGCCGGCAACGGUGCAACUCAAAUGAAUUGACGGA
rnacentral:rRNA from 1 species